rnacentral:rRNA from 1 species
CCUACGGUGGGCAGCAGUGGGGAAUCUUCCGCAAUGGGCGAAAGCCUGACGGAGCAACGCCGCGUGAUCGAAUGAAGGCCUUCGGGUUGUAAAGAUCUGUUGUCAGGGACGAAUAAGCAAUGCAAAUAGUUUUGUGUAUGUAGGUACCUGUUUCGAAUGCUCUGGCUAACUACGUGCCAGCAGCCGCGGUAAUACGUAGGGAGCAAGCGUUGUCCGGAUUUACUGGGCGUAAAGGGUGCGUAGGUGGGCGCUUAAGUCAGGUGUGAAAGCUCCGGGCUCAACCUGGAGACUGCACUUGAAACGGGGUGUCUUGAGGGCAGGAGAGGAAAGUGGAAUUCCUAGUGUAGCGGUGAAAUGCGUAGAUAUUAGGAAGAACACCAGUGGCGAAGGCUACUUUCUGGACUGUACCUGACGCUGAGGCGCGAAAGCGUGGGUAGCGAACAGGAUUAGAUACCCUGGUAGUC